GACUGUAGGGGACUCAUUGGCCAAAGUCAGACACGUGGACAGGGACGGAUGGCAAGGGACAGGGGCUGGGGCUGCGUCAACGUGGACAUGCAAACACGUGGGCACGCGAAUACGGCCCCCCAUCCAUGUGCUUGGGUGGGAGUGGACAGAUAGACUUGGACAUCAAAUCUGGACACCCACAGAGAAACGCCAGUGACACCCAGGGACAGAGGCAUGCCAUGGCAUCCCACGGCCCAGGCAGGAGGCCCCACCCCAGGCCCCACCCCAUCAUCCCUGUGCUCUCUGGGCCCCCAUACCCUGACCCCAGGCUCUCUGCAGAGCUCUCUCCGGGACCCUCGGGGGGUCUCCUUGCUGCCCACGAACACAGGCGCGCUCACGCAGCGUCCAUGCAUCCAGACACACAAUACCUCGGUCCACUCUGGCAUCAUGGAGGGCUGGAGGCAGCCACCCCCAAUACUUGAGGCCAAAGGACCCCCCCGUUCCCGGGGCUCAGCCUCCCUGGGCCGAGGCCUUGGCCCACGGAGCCGAGGGGGAGGCCCAGCCCUGAGCCUCCCCCACCAGGGCCCAGCCUCCCCAGCAGCAAGCCCCCAGCACCCCUGCCAGGCCCUGGUGGACAGGCCCAGGGGCCUGGCCCCAGACACCCUCCCUGUCCACCUGUCCCUUACCCCUUUCGGUUUGUUGGGUUUUUCGUCUUUCCAGAUGGGUGAGGGCAGUGUACACCGCCCCCCGCCAUUCCGAGCCCCAGCCCCGGCUUCUGUCUGGACCUGGCAUCUCCCUAGUUUUCUUUUUACAAAAUGAAUUCCAACAGAAGCCACAGGCCGGAGCUCCACCCUCGGGCCCAUCAGAACCGAGAACUGCAAAGCCCCUACUUUAGCUGUAGUUAAGUCAUCUCCCCCACGUCCCUCCCCUGCCCCCGGUGUCUGGCCUUGGUCCCUCUUGAGUGUCCAGCUCUCUCUCCCCCACCCCUCCCGGUGUUGUUAUUAAACGUCUGUGGAGCUUCUGCUGCAAGGAACAAAAAGAAAAAAAAAAAUCAAAAAAGCUACAAAAAAACACAAACAGAAGAGGAAAAAAAAAAGCGACAGAAAAAGAAAAAAACACACACACACAGAAGAGAUUUUUAAAAAAGGAAAAAAAAAGACAUAAACUGGCACCAGUUAACUUUCUUGUACUUUUUUGCUGAAUUUAGCUUCUUGUAGUUUUAACUUAUUGCUAUGUUAACUAUUUAUUGCCCUGUUGCCCUGUAAGGACAUUUGUGUAUAUUUCUGUUAUUUCAUCCAGUUUGCAAGUUAAAGGAACGACGAUGUUCUCUUUGUUUCUUUAAGUUUUGCCGAGAUGUGGUUAUGCCUAAUUUAUUUAUAAAAGGGGAAGUGGAGUCAUUAAAGUAAUAAUUAUUAAUAACAGUAAUGGUAGCCAUGUGGCACCCGGGGGCGUGUGCUCCGCGGGGCGGUCCCCGUGGCUGGCGACUGUCCCCCCCUCCCGGGGUCUCCAUGGGAUUAUUUUUGCUCUUGUCUUGAGAAUUUUUUCAGUCCUAUUUAGCUGGUGAAAACCCUAGCUUGUUCUUGAUACACGAACCUAUUUAUUCUUGUGGUUUUAAGUCCUCCCUGCCCUCGCCCCCUCCCCUCCAGCAGGGCGGGGACCACCCCCCUGCGGGUCCCCCCGUCUCCCCCGCUGUUUCUUGGGGCUUUCUCCCCUCCGCCCUCCGCACGCGUGCAGGAGGCGUCUGAGCAAUAAGGGCUGGGUUUGUCCCCCACCCUGGGGGGGCCAGGCUGCAGAGAGGGGGCAUCUCCCCACACCCCCCACAGAGGCCUAGGCCCCUGUCGCGACCCCCGAGACUGGGAGGGGGACUUCUUUUUCUAAAACACAAAACUCAGCCCAGCCAGGCCCCCUCCCUGGAGGCCAGCCCCUCACCCCUGGGGGCCAGGCCAGGGCUCCCAGAGAGGGGUCCUUGGGUCUUCCAAGACCCUGGGGGUAGGGCCAGGGCCGGGGGAGGGGGCUCAGCCCCUCCAGCCCUCCCUUCAUCCUGUUAUUUAUUCGGAAGGUUUCAAAUCACGACAAAGUCCAUGUUGGAGGUGAAAGAACUGUUAAAAAAAAAAGACAAAAAAAAAAACCCAACAAGAACACUUUGCGUUGCGUUUAGACUAUUUAUUACCGGGAUUACAGGCCUGGCCGCGGUAACAGACUUUUACAUGGAAUUGUUUAAUUAUUUGUACUUUUCAUGCCAGAAAAUAAAAGUUCAGAAUCUUA